GGUAUUGUCCUGUUCGACUCGACUCCUGUGAAAUGGGUCAGACCAGGAAUGGAGCAGCCCUAAGCAAGAGUUUGGGUGCUUGCAGGGUCGCAGUACUG
rnacentral:SRP_RNA from 1 species